AGAGCCACGGGCAAGGGGCUGAGUAGAGGGGGGUCCUGUGCCAGUUGCUUAAAAAUGCCCCUGUAGCAUCAAGAGGUGCCAGACCCAAGUGAACUUAGUUGAGAAGCAGUAACACCCACAACCACACCCCAAAUAGACUGGGCCUCCUCCUCCGAAGAGUCAUCCCUGGACCAGACACCAGUCAAGGCAAGAGUAAUGGCUGGUAGGAUUCUCCCUACACUGGAGAAGAGCCCCAGAGAGGAAUCUUCCUGAGAAGCUGAGAAGGGACAGCGAUAGCCACCCAGCUCCCAGAUCUCCUCCCCUCCUCUCACCCCUCCCAGGAGCUUCCCAACAGACAGAAGGCAGAGAUCCCCUAGCCUGGAGACAUUUUCUGAAGACAUGGGAAAAGGAAGAAAGGCGGGCUACUCCCGGGCAAGGCCCCCAAGCUGCUGAGAGCCAGUACCAAGAGCACCAGUCCUGAGGAAAGGCUGCCUACCCUCUUCAGAAAACCCUGAAGGUAUGUAUCAUCAGCAUCGAGGCCACCACAGUCACCAUGAAGAAAAGGUUGUCUGGAAACCCUGGGGUCUUAGCAAGAGCAGGGUGAGCAGGUGGUUUGGGGAAGGGCUGCUCUGCUCACCUGGGAGUUCCCACAUAGGCCCUGGCCACAGAAGAAAAGGAAUCCUUCACAUGAUCACUCAGUCACUGUGCAUCAUCUGCUGUCUGUGGUCAUGUGCAAAGUCAUUGGCAGGUUCUAGGGACCCCAAGUUAUAAUAUAUAGACCCUGGCCUCAGGGAACUGGAGAGGUAAGCUGGGGUGACCCAGAGAUAAACUGCUCCAAGGCCACAGAGGAUGAGGUGGAUUGUAAGCCAUCUACUCAAGCAAUGUUCAACACGGCCUUGAUCCGGGGGUGAGGGAAGCCAGCGGGCUCCCUUUCCUUAUGAAGGAAAGUGCCCGCAGAAGAAAACUGUACCUUAAGAGCUAGGAAGAAACAAAGCUCAAAGGAUGGGUGAGACCAUGAAGAAGAUGUCCUGGAAUCUAAAGAAGUAAGGGAUGGUUUCUCACUAGCAGUCAUUUGUCCAAAGUGCACAUACAGAGAUGGAUGGGGAAGGAGGAGUGGGGGAGGGAGGCAAACACGAGAGCCACAGGUUGAGCAGGCCCAGAGAGGCUAUCUAAUAUCUGCAAGUCCCUGGGUUCCAUCUUUAGCACUGAAAAAAAAAAAUUAACUGCACGCUUGAAAUGAAUGGGAUCUAUCUCCAGAAAGCUAACUUAGACAAAGAACGUGAAGGUGGAAAUUUCAGUCCCAGAGGGUUCCAGGUCAAGUCGAGACCAGGAUAGGAGGCAGAACACUGCGCAUGCUCACACUCCUUCUCCUGCCCAGGAAUAAAGCCGCAGCCUGAACGCGGAGCGCCUGUCUCCCAGCCUGAGGUGCAGUGCUGCAUCUCUGGUCAGUUGGGAGUCUGAGAUGAAGCACUGUAGCUCAGGAAGGGAGAAGAUGUUCUGCAGCCGUCAACAGGACAUGGUAAGUGUUGGCAUGGGAUAGUGGGUCUGAGAGGUUUUUCCCUAGACUCCUCUCCAGCUGCUUGUGGUGAUGUUCAUGGGCUCAGGCUGUACCAGGGCUGAUCACUCUUGUGACGUUGGUAACAAUAAGCGCUGAUCGACUCAGUGGCCACUAGCACCAACACCCUGCCUCUACUUCCCCAGUCCAGAGUAGACCCUGUUAACAAAGACGCUACAUCUACCCGUUCUGGGAGGGUUCCAACACACUCUCAGAAUCCUUCUCAACACUGCAUAGUGAAUACCCACUAUAUAUGAGUCUGCAUUGAAACCCCUUCGUCUCCAUAAAUCAGACACUUCCUAAUAACCUUUAGUCCUAGAGGUAGAGGCACAGGGUCCUGGCAACCCAACAGUAUGACACUGUCAUGUUAUAACCACAAAAUACCAGACAUUAGGCUUGGAGUCACAGUCUUUACACUUUGAGCCGUAAUGCUGGCUCUGUGCUAUUGCCAGAACCAGUCUGGCAUCUCACGAAUGUCUGCCCUGUCCCAGAGGCUUCAGAGAGGCAAGGGGCAACAGAGGAGAGUCACUGGGGUAGACCCAUGUGUAUUUAACCUUCCAAGCCUGGUUAGAGGAAGGUGACCCACUUCACAGAGAAGAGUAAGAUAAAAGAACAGACCCCAUCCUGGUCUUGCUUACUCUCGGCUGUAGUAACAGAGGCAGAACCACACAUUUCUACAAAUACACCAGAAGAGGGCACCAGCUCCCUUUAGAGAUGAUCCUGAGGUGCCAGGUGGCUGCUGGGAAUUGAAUUCAGGAGCUCUGAAAGAGCAGCCAGUGCUCUUUAAGCACUGAGCCGUCACACCAGCCCCUGCCCAUACAUAUUUCUAAGAGUCUUAUGGCCUCGCUUCCUUCGUGAUGGCUCCUCACCCACCCAGUGGGUCCUAUUUUAUGCCACUGUACAAUUGAGUGAGGAUCAGAAUCUAAGUGACCUGCUGGAGGGCCUCACUAGAGCGUGGGAACAGAGUUCUCGGCCGUGGCAAGGGGGAGGGGCAGGGAUGACUGGACCCAAAUGCUUCCUGACCUCAGAGAAGGUACUUUCCAAGCCGCUCAGAGCUCUGGUUGCUCUUCCCAGAGCAGGAAGCUGCAUCCUGGGAAGUAAGGUGCAUACAGCACCCCCACACUGGCUGCCAGAGCUAGGACUGGAUGCAGAGAAAACUGCUGGUCCCCUAGGGGCAUGGCACGUGCUGAAGGCAUCUCUCUCCCACCUUGUCCUCACGGUCCAGUUUUCCCAGGAAUCCCUUGGAUGCUAAGAUGGGGAUUCCUGGAAAUACUGUUCUUGAGGUCAUGGCUUAACAGCUGGAUCUGCCUCCUUCCCGCUCGGGCAUGUCCUCCCAGGGAGGAGGGAGGAGGAGGCGGUGCAUCGGAGGUAAGCGGUCUUGGGCUCGCUCUUCUGACCUUUGUAUAGCUUUUCUUUUCGUUGUGUCCAUAUUUCCUAACAUCCCCAGGAGGCUGGAUGUGGGAACCUCAGAACUGCCUCACUCUUGAGAAACUUGUCUCAAGACACAGUGGUUGAACCAAAGGUUGAGUCUUCCCUCUACUCUGGCCUUCCACAUUCCUUCCUUGUAGGCCUUGUGGUGAGGAGGGGCCACAGACCCAUAUCCACAUUAUUAAGAAAGUAAUAUGUAAAUUUAUUUUAAAAGUUUAUUAAAUCAGUUAGGUAAACUAAGAACCAUUCAUCUCAGUUGGAUUUGGAGGGCAGCCACAGGAAAAUGAGUUUUUCAAGGUAGAAAAUACAUGAUUUGGAGCGCCCCCUUGUGGUGUCCCUUCCCACUGCGGGAACACUUGUGACCCCUGUACACAACCAUGGACAUGCUUAACCCUUAUCUCUUCCAGAGAUGUUUCCACAGCUUACCAUUGGCUUUCCCUUAGGCCCAAACAAGAGCUGGGUCACCUAGAAAGCAAAAGGUAGAGACGGGAUUGAUUUCAAGCCUGGAAUUGAAUGCCUGAGUCAAAAGAAAAAGUAGAGGCAGGUACUCCCUUAUAGCUCCCUGCCCCCCAGCUCUUGGGAGUUCCUUCUUGUUUUUCCUUAGUAAAUCUUUGCUCAUUGUACAAAAAAAAUUAAAAAUUAAAAAUAAAGCACAUGCCUUUCAUCGCAGCACUCAGGAGGCAAAAGCAGGGAUGGAAAUCCAGCUAUAAAAUAGAACUUGGGCUGGAAGGAGGAGGCAGAGCUUACCAGCAAAGGUGCUUGCCACCAAUCUGAGGGCUGAGUGGAAUUCCCAGAACCCAUGUAGUGGGAAGAGAAAACCAACUCCUGAAAUUUGUCCUCUGACCUCCACAUGUGUAGCAUGCCAUGUGCAGCUAACGUGCGCACGCGCGCGCACACACACAAACACACUAAAAAGAAAUAAAUGCAAAGGAAAACUAGAACUUAGGUGCCGGGGAGAUGGCUCAUCAGUACAGUGCUGAGUUCAGAUGCCCAGCGCCUAUGUAGAAAGCAGCUGUGGGGUCACACGUAUCAUCCUAGUGCUGGUGAGAAGGACAAGAGGACCCCUGGAGAUCUGCAGCCAGCCAGCCUAGCCAGGGUUGGUGAGCUUCAGGUUUAUCGAGAGACAGUGUCUCAUAAUCAUAGGGUAGACAGUGACAGAAGACACUAACUGAAUACACACACUCAUGUACCUGAGAACUAUCCUUAAACACUCCCUAGUCCGUUGAGCUGAGUCAGUGGAGGUGGUAACUGUCAUAACUCCACAACCCUCAUAUUUCUGAUGUGGCCUCAAAUUUCCAGAGACCAGGCAGUCCCCAGGGGCUGUACUCAGAGCAAGCAUCCAGAAGACAUUUCUGAAGAGAGACCCCCCCCCCUUCCUGGUCACACUCAGAGGCUGUUGCUGACCCACUCAGGAUGGCAGACUUGCUGACGGUGACACCACCACCCUCCACUCUCUGGUUCCUUACCAUGUGGCUCUUGACUCUCCCGGCACCAUGUCAGUUCUCACUGCAACCCAAUGAGGUAGCAGCCAUGCAGCCCAAGGCUGAGAGAGAUUAAGACACUUACCUUAGGCCACACUCAGGAAUUGUGACAGUACCCAGCCAAUGCUAACAAUUUCCACCCUUCUCCUGUGCUCCACCCACCAGGCCUGCCUACCUCAGGCUGCUCCCAUCCCAAUGGCUUUCCCGUGGGGGGAGAAUAGUGAGCUUUCCUCUCUGUGCUCUGUAACAGUAAUAAAGUACUGGACCUUUGA